rnacentral:rRNA from 1 species
CUACGGGCCGCUCCAGUGAGGAAUAUUGCACAAUGGGGGGAACCCUGAUGCAGCAACGCCGCGUGGAGGAUGACGCAUUUCGGUGUGUAAACUCCUUUUAUAUGUCAAGAACAUGACGGUAGCAUAUGAAUAAGCACCGGCUAACUCCGUGCCAGCAGCCGCGGUAAUACGGAGGGUGCAAGCGUUACUCGGAAUCACUGGGCGUAAAGGACGCGUAGGCGGGUUGGAAAGUCAGGUGUGAAAUCCUACAGCUUAACUGUAGAACUGCACUUGAAACUUCUAAUCUAGAGUAUGGGGGGGGAGAUGGAAUUAGUGGUGUAGGGGUAAAAUCCGUAGAUAUCACUAGGAAUACCUAAAGCGAAGGCGAUCUCCUGGAACAUUACUGACGCUAAGGCGUGAAAGCGUGGGGAGCAAACAGGAUUAGAUACCCGGGUAGUC